UGAUAGUGCAGCCAUAAGUGGGUGGUAAACUCCAUCUAAGGCUAAAUAUGACCACGAGACCGAUAGCGAACAAGUACCGUGAGGGAAAGUUGAAAAGCACUUUGAAGAGAGAGUUCAAGAGUACGUGAAACCGUUUAGGGGUAAACCUGAGAAACCCGAAAGGUCGAAGGGAGAAAUUCAUUCGCGUUUCGCAGUCGGCGUGAGGCGAUCGAGUGACGGAACGCGUCUUCGGACGUUUUCUGCACCUUUUGUUUUUCGAUCCGAUAGCGAACGCGUGCACUUUUCUCCUGGUAGGACGUCGCGAUCCGUUGGGUGUCGGUCUACGGCUCACGGUGGAGCCCGGAUGUACGGCUUGCCGUCACGUCCGGACCCGUGUGUCCCGGCUGACUCGCUCGACGGUAUACGAAUGGUUUA
rnacentral:rRNA from 1 species